CCCCGCCGCAAACAAACACGGAAGGCGCACAAAAGUCUUUGUUGGGCUCUUACCGGAGCGCCGCCGCCGUGCCCUGUGCCCCCCCCCGGCGUCAGUCAGCCAUCCACGCAGCCCCCUUUCCCCCCCCCCCCCCCCACAGCCGCCCGAUAGCAGUGGGGGGCACCGAAGAAUCUACACAAAGAAAAGUUGUCGGGUCGGCGCUGGGGCUGCUCCAGGAGAUGGUUUCCCUUCCUGGCCCAACGCCGCCCCACGUCACGGCCGCUGCGCGCGUUAAAGGCGCACGGCACCAAAACGCAGCGAGGGGAGGGCAGUGGGUGGGAUGGGAUCCACGCGCUGAGCCAAACGCGGCCUCAAAGCACGGCGGCUCCGACCGCACGGCCCAAAGCCGGACCCCAAACUGCAGCUCCCACCCCCGGACCCCACGUUCCACAUCCCUCACCCCGGGCCUCAAAGCCAGACCCAAAGCCAGACCAAAGGCACCAAGGCCAGAUCUCACAUCUCAGGCCCAGACCCGCGGCCCAGCCCAUGAUCCAAGGCCCCAGGCCCACACCCCAAACCCUGACCCCACACCCCAGCCUCUGAUCCAAGGUCCCAGAUCCAGACCCCAAACCCUGACCCCACACCCCACACCCCAGCCCAUGACCCCAGGCCCCAGAUCCAGACCCCAAACUCUAACCCGAAACCCCAGCUCCAGCCCCUCACUCAAGGCCCCAGGCCCAGACCCACACCCCAAACUCUGACCCCACACCUCUGACCCUACACUCCAGCCCCAAGGCCCCAGGCCCGGAUCCAGACCCCAGCCCCCAACCCCACACCCCAGCUCCAACCCCUGACCCAAAGGCCCAGGCCUAUACCCCAGGCCCACAUCCAGACCCCAAACUCUGACCUCACACCCCAAAGGCUCCAGCCCUUAACCCAAGGCCCCAGAUCCAGACCCCAGGCCCAGACCCAGACCCCAAACUCUGACCCCACACCCCAGGCCCAGACCCCACAACCCAGCUCCAGCCCCUGACCCAAGGGCCCAGACCCCAGAUCCAGACCCCAAACCCUGACCCCACACCCCAGCCCCUGACCCAAGGCCCCAGACCCAGACCCCAACCCCAAAGGCUCCAGCCCCUGACCCAAGGCCCCAGAUCCAGAUCUAGGCCCCAAGCCCAAAGGCCCCAGGCCCAGCUCCAGGCCCCAAGUGCAGAUCCCACACCCCACACCCAGGCCCCAGAUCCACACCGAGAGCCCACACCGACCCCAAACCCCAC
ensembl:lncRNA